CUUAUAUACUUUAUAUUGUAGAUAUUUUAUUAUAAUUAUGGUAAUGGCAGUAUUAAUUGAUUUGACUUUGUAAUUUUCAGUCUGUGCAUCUGUCUUGCCCGGUUGACUGUGAUUUAUUAGCGGCCAACCGACCUAAAGAGUGCUGGCUCUAAUUCAUAAUAAUUGUAUUACACAGAUAGUGCACGGCCUUUGGUAAAUCUACAAUAUUUUCACUUCUGUUGAUGUGUUGAUAGUUCUGUGCUGUUGGUUUUCUUUUAGCUUAUGCUUGCCCUCCCUUACUGUUUGCCAUUCCUCCAAAAUGCCUGUCAAACUUCCAUUCCAUAAGAUAUUGCCAUUCGACGACGAAGGAUCAUCACGAUUACUAUGUGCGCAGUCCGCUCUCGGAGUUUAUCGAAAAUGUUUAUUUCUUAUUUAAUUUACAACGUAAUUCCUUUACUAAUAUUAUUGUAUUGGUUUACGUUUGAGUCUCUCAUUAAACCGUAUUUUUCUAAUAAUAAUUAUAUCAAUUUGUACUUUGAGUAUAGUACUUCAAUAAGGACG